GACGAACCGAGCGAACGUUGUUCGGAAUCACUGGGCUUAAAGGGCGCGUAGGCGGGCGGUUAAGUCUGCGGUGAAAUCCUCCAGCUCAACUGGAGAACUGCCGUGGAUACUGGCUGUCUCGAGGAAGGUAGGGGCGUGUGGAACUAUCGGUGGAGCGGUGAAAUGCGUUGAUAUCGAUAGGAACUCCGGUGGCGAAGGCGACACGCUGGACCUUUUCUGACGCUGAGACGCGAAAGCGUGGGGAGCAAACAGG
rnacentral:rRNA from 1 species